GAAGGUGGCGAAUGUUGCUCGGAUUCACUGGGCGUAAAGCGUCCGCAGGUGGUUGAAUACGUCAGAUGUGAAAGCCCCGCGCUCAACGUGGGAAUGGCAUUUGAAACGGUUUGACUAGAAGGUGAGAGAGGUAGGCAGAAUUUCCGGUGUAGAGGUAAAAUUCGUAGAUAUCGGAAGGAAUACCCAUGGCGAAGGCAGCUUACUGGCUCAUUCUUGACACUCAGGGACGAAAGCGUGGGGAUCAAACAGGAUUAGAUACCCUGGUAGUCCACGCUGUAAACGAUGCACACUCGUUGUCGGGUUCGACACAGAACUCGGUGGCUUAGCUAACGCGGUAAGUGUGCCGCCUGGGGAUUACGGCCGCAAGGUUA
rnacentral:rRNA from 1 species